rnacentral:rRNA from 1 species
UUUCUGAAUUUAUAAUAGAAUUUUAUUUUUUAGUCAAAAAGCUAAAAUUUAUUUAAAAGACGAGAAGACCCUAUAAAUCUUUAUAUUUAUAUUAUUAUAAUUUUUUAGAUUCUUUUUAUUAUAAUAAUAGAUUAUAUUUUAUUGGGGUGAUAUUAAAAUUUAAUAAACUUUUAAUUGUUUAAAUCAUUAAUUUAUGAAUAAUUGAUCCGUUAUUAGCGAUUAAAAAAACAAGUUACCUUAGGGAUAACAG